GGGCUACAUAAAUAGAUAUGUUUGCCCAAAAUAUGGAGUUUGGAAGAUACUGCUCCAUUAAACGGGUCUGAAUGAGUGGCACAUGGAGACGUCCCCGCAUGUGUCUUUCUGUAGCAUCAACCUGGCCCUAUUUCUUUCAUGGUCUUUUCCUGCCCCAUUUUAGGGUCCCAGAUCCCCAGAGGACCUCUGCUCACUUGGAGGACCGUCCUCAGGAGGUUGGCCUGUGGUACUUUGCCUAUUAUCCAGUACUAGAGGGCUGUCAUUAUCUCUCCAAUAAGUUUUCCAAUUUGUCCAGAGAAGCAAAGAGGCAUGCGGCAGACACUGUUGCGCGGAAAUAUCUGCAGGACAUGUUGGAGCAUUUCCUGGAAUUGUCUGACCCGCUCUGUGACACUCUGAUGGAUGCGGUCCUGUCGUCAGCUGUGACUUAGAGGCCUGUCUCAAACACUGCCUGGGCAAAAUGAAUGCAGGCUCAUGGCACAUUGAAGACACUCAGGAGCAGCUAUUGUCUAAGGGAAAUAAUUGACACCGUCGCAACUCUUCUGAGUCUGGACCUGGUCAGCCAGAUGACUGCCAAGCUGCCCCUGGAAUGAAGGCUCUGCCUUCCAUCACGGUGAGUUUCAGAUCUCUCUGCCUGCCUCUGUAUGGGGGAAGGAAUUCCCUUGGAAAGGGAAGAUGCCCGAACCAAAAGGAUCUCUGCUU